GUUUAGAAGACUGUGUCAAGGCAAAUGUCUUACUAAAGAAGGGUUCAAACUUCCUCAUAACCAUGGACUGCUUCAGUGAGCAAACAAGAAUCAUGUGACCACACUUCACAGAAAUACACCUGUGACUUGCUCAAGUCUGGGGCCAACCUGAAUGCUGGUUUCUGGUUAGAGAAGCUGUAACACAAAUGAAUAAUCAGGUGUUGUCUAAAUGCCAUCUAUGGGAAUGCGAUUUUAGUUUUACUGGGAAGCAAGAUCAUCAACAUCACAUCUUCCAUGAGAAGCAAAGCUAAGUCAGCCAGUGGGAGGAAGAACAUCUGUCCAGCACUUGAGACCAGAGAACCAGAAAGAACACGGGGAAGGAAGAAGAGGUAUCAACAAGUUUAUUGCAAAAUUCAUGCAGGAAGGCAAAGGAACUCAAAGAGCUAAAACAAACUUGAAAAGAAUAUUGAAGCAGGGAAAGCCAACAUUUUGCCUCAGAGUCUUAAACAGUGAUCCCCUUUUGGACACUAAAGAACACAAACAGAAGUUUAGGGCUUCUUCAGCUAUUUU